ensembl:lncRNA
GGACACUGAUGCGCAGGAGAACCCCUAGCUGUCAAUCAAGCAGGCGCGGUGAACGGAUUAUGACGCUCAAGCGUUCCAAAUGACGCAACAAUACAGCUCCAGACCAGAGAAAGUUAAUGCCGAGGAUAUUAUUCGGUUCAACACUAAAACUGAGGUUUGACACGUGUGAUUUGAGGCUAGAGCUUGAGGACUCAACUCUGAAGACUGUUUCUGAAUUCACUGACCUGAAAUAAAACUUGUAGACCUUUCCUGCAGUCUCUGAGGAGAUGGACACCUCUUCUUCUUCUGGACGAUCUCCGUCUCCUACUGGGACUGUCUUCUUACCCCCUCCUAUCAUGUGGAACAGUCUGUAAGUCAUUCAUCACAUAACCUAGCUCUGGUCCAGGGCAUUAUGUGCGGCUUGCUGAAGGAAGGCUCAGUGUCUGCAAGCUGUACGUAACGCCCUGGACCAGAGUGACACAUUACCCACCUCUGGCCAUCAUGGACAGUCAACUCAUCACAUUCACGUACUGUAAGUCACAGUUGUGUGAUUUGUGUUAUUAAAGACAGUUAAAUUGAGCAGAAGUUGAAUUAUUAUUUUAAUAUUGUAGUAAAUUGUCUGAGUUCACUUCCUAAAUAAUGUGUUGACAUUCCUUUGCUC